rnacentral:rRNA from 1 species
UACGGAGGGUGCAAGCGUUAUCCGGAUUCACUGGGGUUAAAGGGUGCGUAGGUGGGUCUGUAAGUUAGUGGUGAAAUCUCCGUGCUUAACAUGGAAACUGCCAUUGAUACUAUAGGUCUUGAAUUUUCUGGAGGUCAGCGGAAUAUGUCAUGUAGCGGUGAAAUGCUUAGAUAUGACAUAGAACACCAAUUGCGAAGGCAGCUGGCUACAGGGAUAUUGACACUGAGGCACGAAAGCGUGGGGAUCAAACAGG